rnacentral:rRNA from 1 species
GAAUUUAAUAUUUUGUAAUUAUGAAUAUUAAUUUAGAAAUAUUUUAUUGGGAGGAUAAUUAAAUUUAAGUAACUUUAAUUUUGUAAAACAUAUUUUUAUGAUUUAUUUUUUUAAAAAGAUGAAUAAUUUUAAAAGAGUUAAUUAAGAAUUAAUUACCUUAGGGAUAACAGCAUAAUAUUUUUUUUUAGUUCAUAUAUAAAAGAAUGAUUAU